AAGUGUUUUUACUCAGAAAAGCAGCUUGUAUAUAUACUAGCCAAGUAGGGUGGAAACAGGGUGUGACAUAGAGAGGGUGGAGCGAAAAAAGACUGGUGGAGAUCAGGGUGUACUAGGAGAGGGGGCGGAGCAAAAAGACAUCGUGAACCAGUGGGGAUUAAACCAACGCCCUGGAGGGAGGGGAGUUAAUGUUCUGUUUUACUGUCUAUCUCUCUAUCUUGUGUUAAUACAUAAGCAGAUAUAUCUAAAUAAUUGUGGGGAUCAUAGUUCCAUGAUAUACAAGUGAACCCGUACCUCUGAAUAUUCUGUAAAUGAGUACUUCAGUUCUUUGUCUUAAAUUCUAAUAUAUGAAAAAAUUCACUUGGUACUGAGAACUUACUGAUAUCAACAAUGAUUAGAUGUGCAGUAGCACAGAGGGUUAAAUUCAGGUGGCAUUAAUCCCAAGGACUGCCGUAAGGAUUCUGGUUCUAUCCCCGAGCUCCCCACCAGCAGGGGAGUCACUUCACAAGUGGUGAAGGUCUGCAGGUGUCUUUCUGUCUCUCCCCCUCUCUGUCUUCCCUUCCUCUCUCCAUUUCUCUGUCCUAUUUAACAAUGAUAUUAAUAAGAACACUAAUAAUAACUACAACAAUAAAAACAUUUUUUAAAAAGACAGCCCUUUAUAAAUGAAAGAAAGAAAAACUAUUCUUACCAGUGUAGACAUUGUAGAAUGUACUUUACAGGCCUAGUAAGGAACUUGUAUUGGAGAGACCAAUAAAUGUAAAUCAGUGGAAUAACAAUGGAUGCUAUAAUAUGUUGCAAGUUGUGAAAUAGUGCUGCAGAUGUCUUGCCCCCUCUACCGGGUUGACAUUCCACACCUGACAUCUCUGGACACUAUCUGAAGUGAAACAUGCUGAGGUGGUACUUGUUGCUUUGAUUGUGAUCACAGUGCAUGCUGUGUCAGUUGGUAUGAACUGAGAGAAGUAUGCAGGAAAGUGAGCCCCAACCUAGAUGUUGCAGGACUGGGGGAAAUAGAGGCUCUAUAGAGGAAGCAGGAGGUUCCUGCUGUCUUAGGGUUUAAGAAGGAUUAAGAAGAUAGUUGUUGCUGUAAUCAAAUUAUUUGCAAUUGAGUUAACUUUGAAGAUCCCUUUGUUAGGAUUUGCUGUGUCCUACGCAACAUCACCAUAAUUUAUGCCUUUGACAUUAUUUGUAUAUAGCUGUGUCUUACAGAGUAACACCAUGGGUUGCUUCUGUUCUCCCUGGACUAAGCUUUUAGGAGAGUCAACAUUUCAAAGGCUCGGCCUAUGGUCUGUGCAUUAAAAAGUUUGAGACAUUCAAUUUUUCUCCUUUCAUAUUAAUUAAAUAAUUAAAUAGUAAUUUAUAUGACUACAAGUUAAUAGGAGUGUACAUAAACACAGCCCAUUUCCACACCAAGCUGGAAGACUGAGACCAAAUAUUCUACCGGAAUAUUGCUUACCGGAAACUGGGUGGAAGAGAGGAGGAAGUGGAGGAGGGGCUCAGUGGGUUCACCCAGAGGACUGGCAGGGAGAGAGGCAGAUGUGAGGUCCUCACAGCUUCCAAGAGAAGGGUCCCACAUGCAGCGGCUUAAGCUAUGGCAACAGUGCUCUUCAGAGAAUCUUGAAAUCUAAGCAGAGAUCAAGGUGUCCACUAUGACUUGGAAACAAUUCCUGUGUUGACAGUACACUUGCACCUGCUGGAUUAUUUUCCAUGGGAGGUUUCUAAGCAUCUGGUGGCCUGUCCCCAGUUCUCUGCACCUUGAUUUGAAGCAUGAUGGGGCAAGGGAUGGCAAACCUGGUUGACAGCACAAGUUUCAGUGCACAAGGACCUAUGUUCCAGCCCCCACCUGCAUGGGGGAAGCUUCACAAAUGUUGCAGGUGCCUGUCUCCCCCUUCUCACUCAAUUUCUCUCUGAAUACAAUAAAUGGUAAAUACAAAAACAUAGAAAAAAGUGCUCACCCUGGCCUGGCCCUCAGCAUGUAGAAUAAGCCAGGCCUGAUCUCCAGUCUGGACUCCAGGGUUGUAUGUCUGCCUUGGGCCACCUGCUUCACAGGUUGGCCCUGCCUAUGCAUUUCAGGUUUUCACUUGUGAAAUAGAGAAAAUAGGGUCUUGGUACCCUCCCUAGCCCCUGUGUGUUAAAGGCCUCACGUAAGUGAACCAACUUGAAAGUGACUAAGUUCAUUUGUGUCAGCAAAACUGAGCCACUUAAAGGCUGGCAGAAAUGCGCUGACAUCCUCAUGCCUUCUGACGAAAUGGACAAGGAAAAAAGCAAGGUAGAGUUGGUAGCUUUGCUUUAAGCAUUAGGACCUUCAUGGUAUCUCCUAAGAACCAGAAAAAGCUUUUUUU